GGGGAUUUAGCUCAGCGGUAGAGCACUUGCCUAGCAAGCACAAGGCCCUGGGUUCGGUCCCCAGCUCCG
rfam:Rattus norvegicus chromosome 8, whole genome shotgun sequence.